CCUACGGGGGGCAGCAGUGGGGGAUAUUGCACAAUGGGGGAAACCCUGAUGCAGCGACGCCGCGUGGGUGAAGAAGCGCCUCGGCGCGUAAAGCCCUGUCAGCAGGGAAGAAAAUGACGGUACCUGAAGAAGAAGCCCCGGCUAACUACGUGCCAGCAGCCGCGGUAAUACGUAGGGGGCAAGCGUUAUCCGGAUUUACUGGGUGUAAAGGGGGCGCAGACGGCGAUGCAAGCCAGGAGUGAAAGCCCGGGGCCCAACCCCGGGACUGCUCUUGGAACUGCGUGGCUAGAGUGCAGGAGGGGCAGGCGGAAUUCCUGGUGUAGAGGUGAAAUGAGUAGAUAUCAGGAGGAACACCGGGGGCGAAGGCGGCCUGCUGGACUGCAACUGACGUUGAGGCCCGAAAGCGUGGGGAGCAAACAGGAUUAGAUACCCGAGUAGUC
rnacentral:rRNA from 1 species